UACGUAGGCAGCGAGCGUUGUUCGGAGUUACUGGGCGUAAAGGGUGUGUAGGCGGUUUUCUAAGUUUGGUGUGAAAUCUCCCGGCUCAACCGGGAGGGUGCGCCGAAAACUGAGGUGCUCGAGUGUGGGAGAGGUAAGCGGAAUUCCUGGUGUAGCGGUGAAAUGCGUAGAUAUCAGGAGGAACACCGGCGGUGUAGACGGCUUACUGGACCAUAACUGACGCUGAGGCACGAAAGUGUGGGGAGCAAACAGG
rnacentral:rRNA from 1 species